CCUACUCCAUAAAAAUCAGAAAUCUCAACUGCUCUAUCAAAAAAAAUGGUUUUCUGACUGAGGUCCUCCAUUAAUCUAGGGUUGUCAGAAACACUUGUCUUGGGUCCUAAAGAUAGUAGAUUUUGUAUGUACUACCUAGACAAAGCUUUUUAUAGUUUCUCAGAAUAGUACAAGCAUAAUCAAGUUACUCUAUGGACAGUUGGCUAAUCUCGUCUCAUGUUGAUACAGGCACAGUAUCUUCCUUAAUUAAGUAGUAUACUUUAGCAGAAUAGAGGAAGCUUACAAUAGUAUCAGGAAAGUUUAUAUAGUCAAGAAGUUUUGUUUAGAACAGGAGUUAAUCUUCAGUUGGGCAUAAAUACUUUUCAGGGAAGAAAAGUGGAUAAAGAAGCUACACUAUGCAAGAUCACUCUUAAUCUCAACAGUUUCUACAUCCAAGUCCUUUUUAAAGUUAAUAAAAGCAAACCUGAGAAACAUCUCAAAGUACUGAUCAUUUUUAUACAGCUCCUUCAUUCUGAAAUUUACCAUUAUACUUUUACUACAUAAUUUAAGAUCAAACAGCAACAAAAACAACCAUAGAACACUAACAUGAAGCAAUCUUAAGAAUCAUGUAGCUACAAAAGCAAGACUGGAAGAAAGUAUAACAGAAAAGUAAGUUAUUUACGUUGGGGUAACAUCUCAUGAACUCUACAGAAUGUAUUUUGAGAAGAAUAUUCUAAUGUCCAACUUGUGUGCUGUCAUUUUCAUGGUUAUGCUGUACAAUCCAGCCACCACUACCACUUCUCCACUUCACUGGAAAUAUGAAAGCCAAUGUAUUGCAUCUCUCAUUACAUCUAACUUUAUAAAUACAGGUAAUUGACUUCAAUAUUUGUAGUGUCUUCAACAUCAGCAGCCCAGAUGUUUCAUACUUAAAGAGGUGCGAACUUGCUAGAAUGAGGAGAUAUUCCCUUCUCAUUCCUUUGAGAUUUACAUAAUCAAGACAGGAAAUUCUUAUAGGAGCUUUGGAUGCCCCACCCCUGGAGGCAUUCAAGGCCAGGCUGGAUGUGGCUCUGGACAGCCUGGUCCAGUGGUUGGCAAUCCUGCACAUAGCAGGAGUGUUAAAACUAGAUGAUCAUCAUGGUCCUUUUCAACCCAGGCCAUUCUAUGAUUCUAUGAAAUAUAAUCUAGUAUGAAUACAUUGAGAGGAUGUAAAGGAGUCAGCUCUCAGUUCAUAAUAGAGAUGUUGCACCCAGUAGAAUCCUGAAGAAACCCGAGCUAGUCAAAUCUGUGCAUACACAGCCCUCAAGAUCUCAUUAGGUUUGCUGCAAAUAGCUUGAGCAUUAUAUUUUAAUCUCAUUCACGCUAAAGUUGCAGCAGCAAGUGAGAUUUGUACACUAAUCUUUUGAAUUAUUGAAGUAUCCAAUGCCAGAGCUAACAACGAAGACCUUAGUGAGAAAUGACAAGCAGCAUGAAAAGUACUUUCUCAGCCAAAAUAGACAGCUAGAAACAAAUUGCUUAAAUGAAGUAUAGUUAUUAAGAACAAAACCUCUCACUGUUUUCACUGUUGGAUAUUUUAAGAGCUUUAUAUUACUAUGCAUUCACUUUUCUUAAGUUUUGUUUCUGUAAGAGUAAGGCACUCUACAUAGCUUGUCAAAACAGCAAGGGUUCAAGUAAUUGGUCAGUACUGCCACAGCUAAUGCAACCCAUGAUAAUUGUCAUUUUCUAUCCACACAGGAUUACAACACAUCACAGUCACAAGGAGACCCGCAUGCAGAUAUCAUGCACAUGCAAGCACACAUCCAACAGAAGCAUUGCCUUAGACAGCUGGUUAAAUGUACAUACUGCACUAAUAAGACUGACCUUGUCCUAAAAUCCGCUUUCCCCAGUUAAAUGAAUACAGCUUCUCAUCCUAGUCUUCAUUUUUAGAAAGCAAGCAUCAGUGUUAGAAGAGAACAGAGAAGAAAGAAUAGUAAAGAACCAGCAAACAGAGUUAUCUAGACUGGAAAAGACCCUCUAGAUCAUCACACCAACCAUCAACCUGAGUCUCAUCACUAAAUCAUGUCCCUUAGUGUCAUGUCCAUGCAUUUAUUAAACACUUCCAGGGAUGGGGACCUUACCACAUCCCAUGCUAGCACAUUCCAAUGCUUGAACUCUCUCUCCACAAAUGCAUUCUUCCUACUAUCCAAUCUAAACUUGUCCUGGUACAACUUAACAUGAUUUCUUAGUCCUGUCACUUGUCAUCUACUUACACAUAAGGGUCUUGAAUAACCCUUUAGUUUCCACAACACUUGAAUGAUGAUAAUUUUUCUUACAGUUAUGGAACUGGUCAUUAGCACUGGGAUUAGCACUGGGGGGGGGGGGGGGGGAAGAACUCACCUCCUUGUUCAUCCAGCAUGGUGAUAGUCCUGACGCCAACAUCAUGGGACUGUACAAAGAAAGUUAUUUGGUGAUACAAAACCAUUUCAAUACACCAGUGCAAAAAUCUGAAUGUCCCUAAAAUAAGUCUGACAAGUCAUACAAGUUUGUAACAAAAUACAGUACUAUGGAAAUGCUUCUACAGUAAAGUUAUACUAAACUUCAAAUUUGAUCUCGCUAGGCUGAUAGCAUUCUUACAUGUAAUGCCAUCUCAGUUAGGAUUUUUUUUUCUAUUAGUAAAACAAGAUAAAAAUUGAUUACAAUACUUAAGAUUGAACUACGUCAAGGUCAAGCUGAAAAGGAAAACCUGCCAUAUCUUGUUUUAAGAAGUGGCACUUAAUUCAUUCUUUAUCCCUACAGCUUUCAGUAGGACCAAAUAGACCUUUAGUCCUGGAGGCCACAAGUGAAAAGAAUUAAAAGUAAUAAUUUAAAAAAAAAGACAGAGCCUGGAAAACCCUUGUUGGGAAUUUAGAAGGUAUCAGGAAGAAACAAAUUACACCUACAUUUUACUGCAAACUCACAGCUCAGAACUGUGUUAGACAUUAUUUCAGCUUCUAAGAAUUGCCAAAGUGAGAUAACAAAAGAAGCAACCUUGAUGCAUUGUGGUUUUUUGACAUCCACGUUUGAGAGGAAUUCAUUAGGCUAUACUAAAUCAAGCAUCUUAUUUAUAACAGCAGCAUCUUUGCUCCACAGCAGUCUGCUGCCACCUGAAUGUGAGUGUAGGUUCUAAAGUGGUAUUGAUUAAACACUAAAGUCCUCAUUUGUAGGAUUAAUUUUUAACUAAUCUCACCUAGACAAGAAGUCAUCUCAUCUGUGCUUGAAGUCUUGUCAUUAGCUUUACUGCUCAGUCUCUGUAUUCCCAUUUGUCCACUGCAUGCACAAGUACUAGCAAAGCAGUCUCAAAUGAAUCACAUAAGCUUUGUUAUCUCUAACAGAUUUGACCCUGCCGGGGAUCUGCUCUUUAUUUUCAGAAAUACAUAAUGAAAUGUAAGCUUUCUACAGUUUGAUUAAAAAAAACAAGGGGAUAUACAAGUCAUAAAAGCAUGGAGAAACUCAAUGAUAGCAUCAUCUAGAUAAACCCAAAAUACAGAUCUAAUCUGUUUUAGGUAAUGUACAAGGGUGUUAAGAGUUUCAUUAUCAUACUUAACUGCUUUUAAAAUUAUAACUGGGGAACAGACAGUAAGAAGGUAUAAGCAGAACUACUUUUGUAUAGGAAGAAGCAGAAGCAGCCUUGCCCUCUGCUACCCUACCACACCCUACUAAGCCCUACCUUCCCUCUUGAAAACAGGACAAAGUGAGAUAGAGGGGGGGGGGGGGGAACAUUAAUCACUUUGCAAACCAAGCAAUGAAGCAGCCAAAGCCAUCUGUCACAGAUGAGUGUUUGUAACUGAUCUGAAACAUCUGGAGAUUUGACCAUUUUGCUUAAAAGGAGAACAGUCAAAAAGACAAUGAUUUUUGUGACUUAAGCCUAAUGGUUUUCACAUUAUAUAAAGUCAUCAUAAUUCAAAUGUCUCAAAUAAAGUUUGGAAAAAACAAAAA